ACCUGGCUGGCUCAGUCUGAAGAGCGUGAGACUCUUGAUCGUGGGGCUGUGAGUUCGAACCCCAUGUUGGGUG
rnacentral:tRNA from 1 species